CUUUCCCAGUGUAUCCUUCCCUUCUUCUUUCUCAUCCUCUUUCUAUUCUUCUUCUUCUUCUCAUUUUAAGUUACAAUUCCAUUUACAACUCAAACUCUAAUAAAGGAAUUUUAAGUCUAAAGCAAGAUUGUGUCUAGCUCUACAAUUACACGAUAGAAUUUUGGGAUUAAGGUUAUUGCUUCAUGGAAGGAGAAGAGUACCCAUCAUUGGAAAGUUGUUUAUUAAGACUCUUUGACGUAAAUACACAACCCAUAACUCAAUUAAGGCAUCUCUAGUCAUGGAUAGUUUGAUUUAGAAACUUAUUUUAGAGUUUAGAGUAGGUAUUAAAGGAAUUUAGGACCGCAUAUGAUUAGAAAAGUUUUAGAAUACUCAUUUUAAUCUUGAAAUUAUUACUGAUGCUCAGAUUGGAUAAUUGGUACUUUGCUUGCUACUAUGGGAGCAGUUGGAGAGAAAAUGUGGUUGAUUCGACAUUGCAAUUUCCAAGCAGCUAAGUAGAGAGCUGCUGGUAGACUCAAAGUUCAGCCACGUCACUCUUUUUGGUAGGUUUCUUUGAUGGAUGUCUCUUUGUUCAUGUAUGUGUUAAGUCAGAGUAUCUGCAGCUGUUUGGAGUCUAUGAAUGUUUUAUUCUGAGAUGUACAAUUAUGUAAAUAUGUUAUUUUGAAAAUCUGGAUGAGAAUACAGGUUGACAAACAAGAUUAAAAUCUUGGAAAAUAUUGAAAAUACAGAGAAUACUUUGUCAAAAUUUCGGUAGAUAUUAUUUUGAAGUGAAAUUCAAAUUGGAAAUAGUCUAAA